rnacentral:rRNA from 1 species
GGGUGAGUAACGCGUGAGAAUCUGCCUUUUGGUCGGGGAUAACAGUUGGAAACGACUGCUAAUACCGGAUGUGCCUACGGGUGAAAGAUUUAUUGCCAAAAGAUGAGCUCGCGUCUGAUUAGCUAGUAGGUGAGGUAAUGGCUCACCUAGGCGACGAUCAGUAACUGGUCUGAGAGGAUGACCAGUCACACUGGGACUGAGACACGGCCCAGACUCCUACGGGAGGCAGCACUGGGGAAUUUUCCGCAAUGGGCGAAAGCCUGACGGAGCAAUACCGCGUGAGGGAGGAAGGCUUUUGGGUUGUAAACCUCUUUUAUUAGGGAAGAAGAUCUGACGGUACCUAAUGAAUCAGCAUCGGCUAACUUCGUGCCAGCAGCCGCGGUAAUACGAGGGAUGCAAGCGUUAUCCGGAAUUAUUGGGCGUAAAGCGUCCGCAGGUGGUUUUACAAGUCUGCUGUCAAAGCGUGGAGCUUAACUCCAUAAACGGCGGUGGAAACUGUAAGAGCUAGAGGUCAGUAGGGGUCACGGGAAUUCCCAGUGUAGCGGUGAAAUGCGUAGAUAUGGGAAGAACACCAGCGGCGAAAGCGCGUGACUGGCUGAUUCUGAC